rnacentral:rRNA from 1 species
AUUGAACGCUGGCGGCAUGCUUUACACAUGCAAGUCGAACGGUAACAGGCCGCAAGGUGCUGACGAGUGGCGAACGGGUGAGUAAUGCAUCGGAACGUGCCCAGUCGUGGGGGAUAACGCAGCGAAAGCUGCGCUAAUACCGCACACGAUCUAUGGAUGAAAGCGGGGGACCGUAAGGCCUCGCGCGAUUGGAGCGGCCGAUGGCAGAUUAGGUAGUUGGUGGGGUAAAGGCUCACCAAGCCGACGAUCUGUAGCUGGUCUGAGAGGACGACCAGCCACACUGGGACUGAGACACGGCCCAGACUCCUACGGGAGGCAGCAGUGGGGAAUUUUUGACAAUUGGCGAAAGCCUGAUCCAGCCAUGCCGCGUGAAGGAUGAAGGCCUUCGGGUUGUAAACUGCUUUUGUACGGAACGAAAAGACUCUUUCUAAUAAAGAGGGUCCAUGACGGUACCGUAAGAAUAAGCACCGGCUAACUACGUGCCAGCCGCCGCCGUAACAC